UGGGGAAUUUUGGACAAUGGGCGAAAGCCUGAUCCAGCAAUGCCGCGUGUGUGAAGAAGGCCUUCGGGUUGUAAAGCACUUUUGUCCGGAAAGAAAUCCUUGGCUCUAAUACAGUCGGGGGAUGACGGUACCGGAAGAAUAAGCACCGGCUAACUACGUGCCAGCAGCCGCGGUAAUACGUAGGGUGCAAGCGUUAAUCGGAAUUACUGGGCGUAAAGCGUGCGCAGGCGGUUUGCUAAGACCGAUGUGAAAUCCCCGGGCUCAACCUGGGAACUGCAUUGGUGACUGGCAGGCUAGAGUAUGGCAGAGGGGGGUAGAAUUCCACGUGUAGCAGUGAAAUGCGUAGAGAUGUGGAGGAAUACCGAUGGCGAAGGCAGCCCCCUGGGCCAAAUACUGACGCUCAUGCACGAAGGCGUGGGGAGCAAACAGGAUUAGAUACCCUGGUAGUCCACGCCCUAAACGAUGUCAACUAGUUGUUGGGGAUUCAUUUCCUUAGUAACGUAGCUAACGCGUGAAGUUGACCGCCUGGGGAGUACGGUCGCAAGAUUAAAACUCAAAUGAAUUGACGGGGUCAUAGCUGUUUCCU
rnacentral:rRNA from 1 species